rnacentral:misc_RNA from 1 species
UUUCCGUAGGUGAACCUGCGGAAGGAUCAUUAAUGAGUUGUCAUGGGGUUCGAUGCUGGCAGCCAAUUUUUGGAUGCAUGUGCUUGCCCUAACAAUCAUCUUCCAAACACCUGUGCACAUUUUUGAGGGAGUCUUGAGUUGGUUGCCGCUCUUGGGUGAUUUUCUCACAUUCCCUUAAAUCAUUAUACGCUAUUAACAAUGUUGAACGUGCUCUGUGCCGCAAGGCUAUUAAUAUAAUACAACUUUUAACAACGGAUCUCUAGGCUCUC